rnacentral:lncRNA from 1 species
CAGUGGAGCUGUGAAAUGAGACAUACAACUACCUUCAAAAGGGUAGACAUACAAUGAGACAUACAACUACCUUCAUACAACUACCUUCAAACGAGUCCCUUCGUCGGAAAGUUAGGGUCUUCGCUCGAAACGUCGAAGCCCUGCUUGUAUAUUUUUCAGGUAGUUAUAUACAGUGGCAUAACGCUCAUUGGGUAAGGUUAGUUAAAAAACUAAGGGGCCCCGGCAGUUAGGGGUUCACAGCAUGGGCGUACUGGGCGGGGGGGGGGCGGCAGCCCCCCCCAGUUUGUUGGUCAAACAAAGCUAGUCGGGCAAUACUCGCUCCACAGUCGGGCAAUAUUGGCUUAUCAUAAAAAUAAAUGGGACAAAUUCUGUCAAUUUUGUGGGAAAU